GUUAAGCAGCUUUGCGGUGGCGGAGGCUGGGCUGCCGUCUCUCCGACAUCCCGGGACAGAGGAAGAGAUGAAGGCUCUGCAGCCCCCGCCGCCCGAUUUACGCUUGAGAAAGCGAAGGCGAGAGAGGUCGUCCAGCCCCUGGGGGCCCAGCCCUAGAGAGCGGGGCGCGGGCUGCGGGGCCCGGCGGCCUGGACGGCGGAGCGUUGAAAGCUCCCCCAGGGAUAGGAAGUGCAGCCGAAAUCAACGACUGAGGGUCUGAGCACCUCCCUCAUGACCUCCCUCAUGCAGACAGAGCCCUGGCUCCCAUGUUCACCAUGCUGAGAAAGACCUGCGGGGGACAGCAGGAGGACAGCCGGGGAAUGGGCCCGCACUUGCCCAGGAUACUGUGUUUUACCCCAGCCGCCCACCUGGAGAGCCUCCGAGGGGUCGCGGGCGCUCCUCCGGGGCCUGCCGGCAUCUGAAGCAGAGGAGCAGAGGCCUAGACCUCCCUUCGCCCCCAACACCUGGCGAUGGACAUUUGCCGGCUCUCAGCAGCAAUGCGUGAAUUUUACAUUGUGCAUCUGGAUAUAUACCCACCACCUGAGUGUACCAUUCACAUGUUACUGGACUUUGUCACAUCUAGUUAAUCCUCCCUGCUUUGAUCCAUUUUAUUUUUUAUGCAUUUCCAAGUAAAUUAUAGACCUCAGGCGGCUUCCCUAACA
rnacentral:lncRNA from 1 species